GUAAAUUGCAAUACUUACAACACAAAAGGGUGUAGUUAAGUGACUCAGGUGUUAUGACUGAACACCACAAAGUAUAACUAUUUCAUCAGACAAGGUACUGAGCCGAUCAAGACAGUACAACAGUCUCACGUGGGAGUGGGGAAGAUGCUCGAUUGACUACUGCGUUCACCGCUGAUCUGACACGUGUGUUGUCAUCAUGGUGUGACAUAACUGGACAGCUAUCUUCUAGACAUUUCUAACAUAAUAGAACACCAAGUAACAAAUAUAACAGCUGAUACAACAAAAAUAAAACAGCUGAUAACACGAAAGCGAAUAUACUCGGGCAUGGAGAUUGUUCACAAAACUAGUGUUGCACAAUAUAUCUUGGUCGUGGUGGUUAAAGGGUUAAAAAAUCUGAUUUUUAUAUAUUCCAAUUUUCUCAAUGAAAACAAAUGAUUAGACCCAAUGCUUCAAUUGUACUUCUCAAGGUUCAUAUAUUUUAAGGUGACAACUUCCAAAAUUGUGUAGUAUUUUGAUAACAUUUCUAAAACAGAUUACAUGCAGAUUUCAAAAGAGGCAUUCACAGAUUUAGGCAAAUUUUUUCCCUGGAGUAUUUCGCAAGAUUAAUACAAAUUUACAAGUGUUAUAAGAUUGUCAAGUAAUUCCAAGCAAAAUUUAUGCACACUUAUUUUCCAAUAACUUUUCAGGUUUCAAGAUGAUGGCUGUUUAAAGUUAAAAGUUAUAGAAGUAUAAAAUUGAACCAUACUAAAUAGAUAUCUUUACAAACAUAAUUUGGGAUUAAUUGUAAUUAAAUUAAAUCCAUGUUUUUAUAACAAAAUUUAUAUAUAAGGUUGUAAAAGUUUUUGUCUAGUUAGAUUUCAAGAUUGUGGACUUUCUAAAUGUUUGAAAGGGUUACGAUUAUAUUAACAUGCCCAUCUAAACUAAUAAUGUAUUUUCAGUUUGACAUUUCGAGAUGACAGCCUUACAUGAAAUCCACCUUUCAUCUGACUGAACCAGAAGGGAUGUUUAGAAAUAAAAUUAAAAUGAAAAUUGAAAUGAAA